GCUGGGUGUGGUGGCCACACCUGUCAUCCCAGUAACUCAGGAGGCUGAGGCAGGAGGAUUCCAAGUUAGAGGCCAGCCUCAGCAACUUAGGCCUUAAGUAACGUAGUGAGGCCCUGUCUCAA
rnacentral:sRNA from 1 species